rnacentral:tRNA from 1 species
GGGCCUAGAGCUCAGCGGAGAGAGCAGCCGCCUCCUAAGCGGCAGGUCGCAGGUUCGAAUCCUGCCGGGAGCA